UGUACAUCGACUUCCUACAAGCAAGGAGCGGCAGAAAAGAAUGCUGCCCAUUCAUGGCUUCUUGAGGAUAUUGACUUUAUGUUCUGAGAAAUUUUAAGGAUAUAUUAGUCAGACCAGUAAACUCAUUUGAGAGAACAUAAACCAAUGUUAUCUAUUGUACACUUAUCUCAACCUAUACCCCACACAAUGAACACAUCACCGCGAUGUGUCUCAUUCAGACAGAUACCACGCCUUCAGGAAGCGAGUCAUUGUCCUUCUGUGGUGAUACAAAUCUACGGCAAGCAUAGAGUACAGCAGAGUGGAAUGCGGAUGUGUUCUCCAUAAAUACAAAGUGACCAGCCUGAGGGACCCUAAUUAUUUCACAUGGAACCUUCAUAUUCUUCCUUGCCUGUUGCGCUCCUCGGUAAUCCAUCCAAUCUUCAUGUCCAUAUAUGAAAGCUGUUGGCACCUUCCAAUCUGGUGCUCUGUAUAAAAGAGGACUCUUGGCAAAUGCUCCAAAGGAAAAUAUAUAUUUUAAGCAUAGCUCUCCACUAGGUUUUGCAGCCAAAGUGUGAUAUACAUAAUCUGAGAGUAGUCUGGACGACUCCUCAGUCAAAUCAUCUCCAUUAGAAUAUGCAGUAAAUCUAGCAUUUGUGUAUUUGCGAACAAGGUCUGGACCCCAUGGGCCUAAGCCUCUGAUAACUUUCAUCGGGGUAAAAUUAGACUCCCACAAAUG
rnacentral:misc_RNA from 1 species